rnacentral:tRNA from 1 species
CGGGGCUUUGUGCAGCUUGGUAGUGCGCCUGCCUUGGGAGCAGGAGGUCGCGAGUUCAAAUCUCGCAGCCCCGA